rnacentral:rRNA from 1 species
GUCGAGAAUAAUUCACAAUGGGGGAAACCCUGAUGGUGCAACGCCGCGUGGAGGAUGAAGGUCUUCGGAUUGUAAACUCCUGUCAUCUGGGAGUAAGACCUGACGGUGAAUAGCCGGCAGGGUUGAUAGUACCAGAAGAGGAAGGGACGGCUAACUUCGUGCCAGCAGCCGCGGUAAUACGAAGGUCCCAAGCGUUGUUCGGAAUCACUGGGCGUAAAGGGAGCGUAGGCGGCGUGGUAAGUCAGAUGUGAAAUCCCGGGGCUCAACCCCGGAACUGCAUCCGAUACUGCCAUGCUUGAGGGUUGGAGAGGUAGCUGGAAUUCUCGGUGUAGCAGUGAAAUGCGUGGAUAUCGAGAGGAACACUCGUGGCGAAGGCGAGCUACUGGACAACAUCUGACGCUGAGGCUCGAAGGCCAGGGGAGCAAAAGGGAUUAGAAACCCUGGUAGUCC